rnacentral:rRNA from 1 species
UACGAAGGGGGCUAGCGUUGUUCGGAAUCACUGGGCGUAAAGCGCACGCAGGCGGAUCGAUAAGUCGGGGGUGAAAGCCCGGGGCUCAACCUCGGAAUUGCCUUCGAUACUGUCGGUCUCGAGUCCGGGAGAGGUGAGUGGAAUUCCUAGUGUAGAGGUGAAAUUCGUAGAUAUUAGGAAGAACACCAGUGGCGAAGGCGGCUCACUGGCCGAUUCUGACGCUGAGGCACGAAAGCGUGGGGAGCAAACGGG